rnacentral:ncRNA from 1 species
UGAUUCUUUCGGGGCAGGGUGAAAUUCCCAACCGGCGGUAAGCUUUAAAGCGAGCCCGCGACCCGUACUGUUUUCUUACGGUGCGGCUGAUUCAGUGCAAGUCUGAAGCCGACAGUCAAAGUCUGGAUGGGAGAGAGAAUGA